rnacentral:Y_RNA from 1 species
GGCUGAGCCCAGUGCAGUAGUGUUUAUAACCAGUUACAGAUUUCUUUUGUUUCUUCUCUACUCUCACUGUUUCACUUGACUAGCCUUUA